UACGUAGGGUGCGAGCGUUGUCCGGAAUUAUUGGGCGUAAAGAGCUCGUAGGCGGCUUGUCGCGUCGGAUGUGAAAGCCCGGGGCCUAACCCUGGGUCUGCAUUCGAUACGGGCAGGCUAGAGUUCGGUAGGGGAGAUCGGAAUUCCUGGUGUAGCGGUGAAAUGCGCAGAUAUCAGGAGGAACACCGGUGGCGAAGGCGGAUCUCUGGGCCGAUACUGACGCUGAGGGGCGAAAGCGUGGGGAGCAAACAGG
rnacentral:rRNA from 1 species